rnacentral:lncRNA from 10 species
CGGAAUUGGAGAGCUUUCACUUGCUGACCUGGCGUCACCACCGCUCCGGUUCUUGUGGCCAGGUCUUUUACCCCUGCCCUGGGGAGGACUCAGGCGCAGGGGAGGGAUGGGGACAGGGGGCGGGGCGCAGGGGAGGGAUGGGGACAGGGGGCGGGGCGCAGGGGAGGGAUGGAGCAGGGGGCAGGGCAAGGAGGGAUGGGGACUCAGGGCGGGGCACACGGAAGCAACUGCAAGGACUAAGGGAGUCCGCAGCCUGGGGCAUUGGAGCCCUUCGCCAUACCCCUAGUGCGUCCUCACCCCCUCAGCCCGUGCUUCCCAGGGCGGGUAUCCUCGGAAGGCCCGGCCCUCACAGCCUUGGCAGGCCAAGGUCAGAAUGAUUGGAGUUGGGGGAUGGGACGGGGGCAUCCCUCCAGGACCAGCUCUCCAGGAGGCCCACAUUCUUUCUGCGGGAACCACUCCAAAGGGGCAUGCUGUUCCAGGCAGCCCCUCGCGCAGACACUCCGGCUUUGUCGAGAGCCUGGAGGAGCCUCUGCUCUUCUUCCACCAG